rnacentral:rRNA from 1 species
CCUACGGGCGGCAGCAGUGAGGAAUAUUGGUCAAUGGGCGCGAGCCUGAACCAGCCAAGCAGCGUGAAGGAUGACUGCCCUAUGGGUUGUAAACCUCUUUUAUCAAGGAACAAAGCGAGGUACGUGUCCCGUACUGCAUGUAUCCUAUGAAUAAGCAUCGGCUAACUCCGUGCCAGCAGCCGCGGUAAUACGGAGGAUCCGAGCGUUAUCCGGAUUUAUUGGGUUUAAAGGGUGCGUAGGUGGGUUGUUAAGUCAGUUGUGAAAGUUUGGGGCUCAACCGUAGAAUUGCAGUUGAUACUGGCAGUCUUGAGUACGGGUGAGGUAGGCGGAAUGCGUGGUGUAGCGGUGAAAUGCUUAGAUAUCACGAAGAACUCCGAUUGCGAAGGCAGCUUACUAGA